rnacentral:rRNA from 1 species
CGCUCGUCUCAUACGAGAGUGGCAGACGGGAGAGUCCACGUGGGAACGUCCCCUUCGGUUCGGAACAACCCAGGGAAACUUGGGCUAAUACCGGAUACGUCCGUAAGGAGAAAGAUUCAUCGCUGAAGGAUCGGCCCGCGUCUGAUUAGCUUGUUGGUGAGGUAACGGCUCACCAAGGCUACGAUCAGUAGCUGGUCUGAGAGGAUGAUCAGCCUCACUGGGACUGAGACACGGCCCAGACUCCUACGGGAGGCAGCAGUGGG